rnacentral:rRNA from 1 species
ACGAACGCUGGCGGCGUGCCUAAUACAUGCAAGUUGAGCGAUGAAGAUUGGUGCUUGCACCAAUUUGAAGAGCAGCGAACGGGUGAGUAACGCGUGGGGAAUCUGCCUUUGAGCGGGGGACAACAUUUGGAAACGAAUGCUAAUACCGCAUAACAACUUUAAACAUAAGUUUUAAGUUUGAAAGAUGCAAUUGCAUCACUCAAAGAUGAUCCCGCGUUGUAUUAGCUAGUUGGUGAGGUAAAGGCUCACCAAGGCGAUGAUACAUAGCCGACCUGAGAGGGUGAUCGGCCACAUUGGGACUGAGACACGGCCCAAACUCCUACGGGAGGCAGCAGUAGGGAAUCUUCGGCAAUGGACGAAAGUCUGACCGAGCAACGCCGCGUGAGUGAAGAAGGUUUUCGGAUCGUAAAACUCUGUUGGUAGAGAAGAACGUUGGUGAGAGUGGAAAGCUCAUCAAGUGACGGUAACUACCCAGAAAGGGACGGCUAACUACGUGCCAGCAGCCGCGGUAAUACGUAGGUCCCGAGCGUUGUCCGGAUUUAUUGGGCGUAAAGCGAGCGCAGGUGGUUUAUUAAGUCUGGUGUAAAAGGCAGUGGCUCAACCAUUGUAUGCAUUGGAAACUGGUAGACUUGAGUGCAGGAGAGGAGAGUGGAAUUCCAUGUGUAGCGGUGAAAUGCGUAGAUAUAUGGAGGAGCACCGGUGGCGAAAGCGGCUCUCUGGCCUGUAACUGACACUGAG